UCUCAAAGAUAGCGAACAACGGGAGGGAGAGAGGCGGAAGAUAGCGAACAGCCGAAGGAGAUAUAUCGCCCAUGGCCGCUCUCAUCGGUAGUCUAAAUCUCGUUCCUCCUCCUUCGCUUUCUCCCUUGCCCUCUCUCGUCCCUCACAACUCUUCCAAAUGGCGGCGAUUCCUCUCGGCCUCGGCUCCUCGCACUAGCCUCUCGCCACCGCAAUGCUCGUCCGUUGCCGAGCUGGGAGAAGGCUUAGGUCGGGUGAGCGCCGCUGCCCUCCUCGCCGCCUCCCUCUUCUUCGCCGACCCUGCUCUCGCUUUUAAGGGUGGAGGGCCGUACGGGGCGGAAGUAACGAGAGGGCAAGACCUCACCGGCAAAGACUUCAGUGGCAAGACCCUCAUCAAACAAGACUUCAAGACGUCGAUCCUGAGGCAGGCCAAUUUCAAGGGCGCAAAGUUGCUCGGUGCGAGCUUUUUUGAUGCAGAUCUGACAGGAGCUGAUCUCUCUGAUGCUGAUCUCAGGGGUGCAGACUUUUCCUUGGCCAAUGUGACUAAGGCAAAUCUAAGUAAUGCAAAUCUUGAAGGUGCUCUUGCUACUGGCAACACUUCUUUCAGAGGAUCAAAUAUCAAUGGAGCAGACUUCACGGAUGUUCCCCUGCGAGAAGACCAACGGGAGUACCUUUGCAAAGUUGCCGAUGGGGUGAACCCUGUAACCGGAAACUCCACUAGGGAUACACUGCUCUGCAACUGAUAUCAAGUGACAUCUCCAGUAAAGCUCCGAGGCAGUCGGCAUCAUUAGGUGCUGUAAUUUGCCUUGUAAUAUGCUUUUCUGUUUAGAUUAUUUAUCUGUAAAUUUUGUUCACUUGCAUCAUUUGUUCUUGUCAAAGAAUUCUGGCAUAUUAUGUAUGGUAAAAGUAUGUAUGUCCUCCUCACAAACGAACUGCUACAGUGUUCUUCCCUACUUUCACUACUGCCGUUCGUUGAAGUAUAUUCUCAGCUCAUUCUGAUACAAUGUGAAGCCUCAAAUUAUUCGAUCCUAUUGAACAGUCCUCUCCGAUGGGCGGACAUCGAUGUGGCCUACCAUUUCAGCAUGGGAGUCGUUCAUGAACACCUCUGAAUGGUUCUUGUGGUCUUCAACUUGGAUUUCUCCAGCUAAAAUAUUAGAUUACGAUGCUCGAAUCAGGUACGCCUAAAUCCAUAAUAUAUAGCUGCAAAUAUAGACAAACCACAGAAAAGCAUCAGCCCAAGGAGACUGCAAUGGAUGAAAUCAGACAGCGUAUGGGUUUUACUCGACAAAGAUGAAAUUAGAUAACGAAUGAAUGCAUUGCUUGUUAGCUAAGUUGUGUAUUUAUGCUCGAAAAGAUUUCUAAUGUAAGCUCUGUUUGUUUCAGAAACCAUGCUUGUCAUCAUCAUCUUGUUUGUGACCCGUACUUGGUACCUUCAUCAUCACUGGAUGGUGUUCUUUUCGCCUUCCUCCCAAUGAAAGUAACAUUGCACCAAAAUUUGUGGAAGAAGCAGUCUGAUGGUAACCUGUGAUGGUAGUGUCCGGUGAGUGGAGAUAAGGGAAAGGAAUCUUGUCUUAAAACUGACAAGAUUGCUGCUACCCACCUCUGACAUUUAUUAUAUUGAAAUCAUCCACAUCAAAAGCAUGGAUAUAUGGUUUUAUUGUAGUUGGUAAGAUGUCAAUGGGUUUGAAAGCUACUGCUUUGUGGAUAGCCAGCCACCUCGGUCAUCUCCUCUCCCUUCUCUGACCGAGCUUGCCUUGGUUAGCUUCUUCUCAGCAGCUGGCUUCCACUAAUCAAUCACCGCUCUUUAUAACCCAAUGUCUCCCCAUCUCUCUUCUCUCAAGACAAAACCUCAAAGUCUCCUCCAACUCUCCCGGCCACCACCACCACCACCACCACCCUGUCUCAGCUUUUGUGCUCUCACCAUGGAAGGUCUCAUUCCGUUCGUCUACAAGGCCAUAGUCCGAUACAAGAACGGUGGACAGGUUUCCAACAUAGGGAGCUUGUUGUUCCACGACUCCCCCUCGGCUUCCUACGUGCGGCUACCGGCCGGUGACUCCGGCAGGUUUCUGUCGUCGGACGUCCGCUUCUUUCCUUCGUCUCCGAGACCACUGACGGCGCCCGCGGCUCCGCAGUCUCCGCGCCGGCGCGCAGCUCAGUGGCGUCCUGCAUGAGGGUGGCGGAGGUGAUGAAGGCGCGUUGCAGGUCGUCUCCGCUUGCUAUAAAUGGUAUCGAUCGAUCAGUCUCUGUGCUCUUCACAACCUGUGAAUUAAUAUGGUUCUUCCUCCUCCUCUGUUGUAAGGGGUUUGGGUCUUGAAAAAAAGGAGUCCCGCUAUUUGUUAUGAAUUAUACAGAGAAAUAAAGUGAGUUUGCAAGUGUAGAAUUAUAGAUGUAUUGGGUUCGUUCUUGGAGUAAUAAAAUAUAACACCAGCAAAUAAUAUUGUCAGUA